rnacentral:rRNA from 1 species
UACGAGGGGGGCGAGCGUUGUUCGGAAUUAUUGGGCGUAAAGGGUGCGUAGGCGGCCUGACAAGUCUGAUGUGAAAUCCCUGGGCUCAACCCAGGGCCUGCAUCGGAAACUGUCGGGCUUGAGUAUGGGAGAGGUGAGUGGAAUUUCCGGUGUAGCGGUGAAAUGCGUAGAUAUCGGAAGGAACACCUGUGGCGCAGGCGGCCUUCUGGGUCGACCCUGACGCUGAGAGGCGAAAGCGUGGGGAGCGAACGGG